GGGGCAUUUGGCACGUACACGCGCGGACUUUUAAUCCGUGGGUUCAGGGUUCGAGCCCCUGGGGGCCUA
rnacentral:tRNA from 1 species